rnacentral:lncRNA from 1 species
AGUUUAAAACGAAUUCCAUAUCCUAAAAGGUCUCUCUCUCAACAAGUAUAAAUACACCCUUCUAGGGUUCAUCUCUAGGAACGCAAUUAUCACAUACUAUUCUUUUGUUUGUUGCUUGAGUGUCAUGUAUUGCUUAAUAACUUGACCGUCGGAGAGCCUUUGGUAGAUACCCCACUAGUGCCAAGGUUGUCUUACGUGUAUUUGCUAUUUUACAAG